AACUGGGCUAUUACUGCCCCAAGUGAAAGAGUGUUUCUAUUUCAAGGAAAGAAGCAGAGAGGGUUAUUAAGUAGGCUACCAGAGUGUUUGCAACAUCGUAUAACUCUUUUGGAUUUUUUAAAGAAAAAGUUACAAAUAACUUACUCUUAUAAUUCCUUUCCCUAGUUCAUACCUUGGGGUGUCUUCAUCUAAUGGUAAAAAUACACUAGUCUCCCAUUAUUUGCAGUUUUGCUUUCCGAGGUUUCAGUUACCCUCAAUCAACCACAGUUGGGAAGUAGGAGAUCUCCAUUCUGAUGACAGAGGGCACCGUAGCCGAAAACUAUGUCACACUUCCUGCGUCAUUCACAUCACUUCGUCCAUUUCAUCUCAUUACGCAGGCAUUGUGUCAUCUCACAUCAGCACAAGAGGAAGGGCAUCCACUGUGGGCCUGGGGACAGAUUCCCCGAAGAUAAGGGGGGACGGCUGUGAUAACUUCCAUGUGUUGAGCCCUCACUGAGCCCUUUACGAGCAUGACGUCUUUUAACCCUCAUACGAGUCCUUGGAGGCUUCAGGAAAUUGAAGGGAUGCCCGAGUGGCUUAGUCGGUUAAACGUCUGACUUCACCUCAGGCCAUGAUCUCAACGGUCCAUGAGUUCGAGCCCUGCAUGGGGCUCUGUGCUGACAGCUCAGAGCCUGGCGCCUGCUUCAGAUUCUGUGUCUCCCUGUCUCUCUGCCCCUCCCCCGCUUAUGCUCUGUCUCUCCCUCUCUCUCUCUCUCUCAAAAAUAAAUAAAUAA